UUAGUUUUCCUGAGUCUUCAGAAUUCAAAUGGGUCCCUUGUAUGUUACAGUAUGUGGACGAUGACUUUAGCUAGGCUAGUUUCCGCCUUAAAUGGGAAAUAUACUUCAUGGAUGAGCUCAGUGAGUAAGUAUGUAGAUCUUGGGACUAGGGGUUGAAAUAGUUCUCUUUUUUUUGUAAUAAAUUUUAUUGAAUUUUACAGUUUGAUAUUCAACACAUUUAUCAUAUAAAUUCCCCUUCUGUUCUUUAACUGUUUGCUACUUCUGCUUAGAUUUUGUCUUACCUUCCAUCUUUUGUCUAAGUGCUCUUAUAUUCUUACCGUAUUUAUACCAAGUUUUCUUUCAAUUACAUCUUACAUUUAAUUAUUUUCCACAUUAUUAUUCCUUAAACUUUGCUCUUGUUUUCUUAAUUGUAAGUGUUUACUCAAACCCUGCUAGUCAGCCCAUUUCUUUACAAUGUUUCUGUAAAUAAAGCAUAAACGAUUCUCAGUCUUUCUUAAAGUCUGUAUUGUCUUUAUCUCUAGGUCUUCCCGUGAGUUUCGCAAUUUCUGCAUAUUUCAAAAUUGAGAUGCAAAACUGACUUCCAUGCUGGAGAUGGACCCUGGGGUUGAACAAAGGACAGAAAGCUCCACUUCCAUGAAAUCCUCUGUUGAUGAGCAGCCACCCACUGAGGAAGGACAGGGGGAGCCAGAAGGUGCUCUGGCACAUUUCCUUACGAAUGAGGCCUUAGACCUCAAGGAGAAAGACCAAAGUGCUACCCCUGGAAUAAACUAUGAAGAGGGUAGUAAUGCUGGAAGAAGCUCAGAAGGAGCUGCAGCUGAAAGAAAUGUGACAAAGAAGGGCCCAGGAAAGGAUCCAAAUUUGUUUGACAAAAUUGUGAGUAUUAGGUCCUCUGUGUCCCUUCUUAUCCUAA